ensembl:lncRNA
UUAACACGACCUGUUUACUGAGGGGAUUAACACAACCUGUUUACUGAGGGAUUAACAACCUGUUUACUGAGGGAUUAACACAACCUGGUUACUGAGGGAUUAACACUGAGGGUAACAACUUCAGGAUUCAGAAAAAUAAAACACAAAUGCCGUUGUUCUGUUUGUCGUUUAAUCAUUGUUUAUCAAAGAUUCUAUAAAAAUGAAACAAUGAAAAAGUCAAGAAGCAUGUUUGUUAUCUUUCUAAGUGGAGUUAAAAGUAAACAAUAUACAUUUGAGGCUACAUGUAAUACGACAAUACGAAACAACUGGUACAAAAAUCUCCUUCAUGAUCCAAUAUCUACAGUGAGUUGAGUAUCUUGAUCUGAUGGUGUGUGUGUGUGUGUGGGGGGUGUGUGUGUGUGGGUAUCCUGAUGAAGACCAAUCAUCAGCAAAGUGGGUGGAGGGUUUAUGGUUUUGAUACACAUAAAGUGACACUUUACAUCCAGGUAACCAGAUAGGCGGGUAACCAGACAGGCAGGUAACCAGACAGGCAGGUCAGACAGGUAGGUAACCAGACAGGCAGGUAACCAAACAGGUAGGUAACCAGACAGGCAGGUAACCAGACAGCCAGGUAACCAGACAGCCAGGUAACCAGACAGGCAGGUAACCAGACAUCCAGGUAACCAGACAGGUAGGUCACCAGACAGGCAGGUAACCAGACAGGCAGGUAACCAGACAGCCAGGUAACCAGACAGGCAGGUAACCAGACAGGCAGGUAACCAGACAGGCAGGUAACCAGACAGGCAGGUAACCAGACAGGCAGGUCACCAGACAGGCAGGUAACCAGACAGGCAGGUAACCAGACAGGCAGGUAACCAGACAGGCAGGUAACCAGACAUCCAGGUAACCAGACAGGUAGGUCACCAGACAGGCAGGUAACCAGACAGGCAGGUAACCAGACAGGCAGGUAACCAGACAGGCAGGUAACCAGACAGGUAGGUAACCAGACAGGCAGGUAACCAGACAGGUAGGUAACCAGACAGGCAGGUAACCAGACAGGCAGGUAUCCAGACAGGCAGGUAACCAGACAGGUAGGUAACCAGACAGGUAGGUAACCAGACAGGCAGGUAACCAGACAGGCAGGUAACCAGACAGGCAGGUAACCCGUUAUUGCUGUAUAUCUACAACAAAACAUAUCAUAGACAAAUAUACUGAAUCGUGUCAAAAUAAAAUUACCAAUCAUAAUUUGGUUUACUUUUCGCUCAGCCAAAUCUAUCUUCUAAACAGCACCCUGUACCCCAUUCCCAAACAGCACCCUGUUCCUCAGUCCCAAACAGCACCCUGUUCCCCAUUCCCAAACAGCACCCUGUUCCCCAUUCCCAAACAGCACCCUGUUCCUCAGUCCCAAACAGCACCCUGUUCCCCAUUCCCAAACAGCACCCUGUUCCCCAUUCCCAAACAGCACCCUGUUCCUCAGUCCCAAACAGCACCCUGUUCCCCAUUCCCAAACAGCACCCUGUUCCCCAUUCCCAAACAGCACCCUGUUCCCCAUUCCCAAACAGCACCCUGUUCCUCAGUCCCAAACUGCACCCUGUACCCCAGUCCCAAACAGCACCCUGUUCCCCAGUCCCAAACAGCACCCUGUUCCUCAGUCCCAAACUGCACCCUGUACCCCAGUCCCAAACAGCACCCUGUUCCCCAGUCCCAAACAGCACCCUGUUCCCCAUUCCCAAACAGCACCCUGUUCCUCAGUCCCAAACUGCACCCUGUACCCCAUUCCCAAACAGCACCCUGUUCCUCAGUCCCAAACUGCACCCUGUACCCCAUUCCCAAACAGCACCCUGUUCCUCAGUCCCAAACUGCACCCUGUACCCCAGUCCCAAACAGCACCCUGUACCCCAGUCCCAAACAGCACCCUGUUCCCCAGUCCCAAACAGCACCCUGUUCCCCAGUCCCAAACAGCACCCUGUUCCCCAGUCCCAAACAGCACCCUG